rnacentral:rRNA from 1 species
GAGUUUGAUCAUGGCUCAGGAUGAACGCUGGCGGCGUGCCUAAUACAUGCAAGUCGAGCGAGAACUUAAUGAUUGAAGAUUCGUCUGAUUGAUUUAAGGGAAAGCGGCGGACGGGUGAGUAACGCGUAGGCAACCUGCCCUUAGCAGAGGGAUAGCCAUUGGAAACGAUGAUUAAAACCUCAUAAUGCUGGAGAGUCACAUGUCACUUCAGCCAAAGAUUUAUCGGCUAGGGAUGGGCCUGCGUCUGAUUAACUAGUUGGUGGGGUAACGGCUCACCAAGGUGACGAUCAGUAGCCGACCUGAGAGGGUGAUCGGCCACAUUGGAACUGAGACACGGUCCAAACUUCUACGGAAGGCAGCAGUAAGGAAUCUUGCACAAUGGGGGAAACCCUGAUGCAGCAACGCCGCGUGAACGAUGAAGGCCUUAGGGUUGUAAAGUUCUGAUCUGGGGGAAGAAGAAAGUGACGGUACCCCAGGAGAAAGCCCCGGCUAAAUACGUGCCAGCAGCCGCGGUAAUACGUAUGGGGCAAGCGUUAUCCGGAAUUAUUGGGCGUAAAGAGUGCGUAGGUGGUUACCUAAGCGCAAGGUUUAAUCUUGAGGCUCAACCUCAUUCUGCCUUGCGAACUGGGCUACUUGAGUGCUGGAGGGGAAAGCGGAAUUCCCAGUGUAGCGGUGAAAUGCGUAGAUAUUGGGAAGAACACCGGUGGCGAAGGCGGCUUUCUGGACAGUAACUGACACUGAGGCACGAAAGCGUGGGGAGCAAACAGGAUUAGAUACCCUGGUAGUCCACGCCGUAAACGAUGAGCACUAGUUGUUGGGUACGAAUGUAUUCAGUGACGCAGUUAACGCAUAAGUGCUCCGCCUGGGG